UCUGCAUGCCUAACUUGUCCUGGUCAUGACACAAGAACCCAGAUUUAGCUGAACUAGGAGCAAAAUUCUGCAUCAAUAGUGAAUAAGUCUCAUGAGAUCUGAUGGUUUUAUAAAGGGCAGUUCCUCUGCACAGGCUCUCCUGCCUGCCACCAUGUAAGAUGCGCCUUUGCUCCUCCUUUGCCUUCUGCCAUGAUUGUGAGGCCUCCCCAGCCAUGUGGAACUGAGGCUGAAGGGAGCCCUCCCGCCUGCUCCGCGAGGACGCAGUGUUCCUCCACUCGAGGUCACGGUAACAAGGCACCCUUGGAAGCAGAGAGCAGCCUUCACCAGACACAGAACCCAGCACCUUCAUCUCGGACAUCCUUGCCUCCGGAAUUGAACGCUGAGGCAGCAUGAUCCAACUGUGACCAAGAGACGGACGUGGACGAGAU